CACGUAGGGGGCAAGCGUUGUCCGGAUUUAUUGGGCGUAAAGAGCUCGUAGGCGGUUCGGUAAGUCGGGUGUGAAACCUCCAGGCUCAACCUGGAGACGCCACCCGAUACUGCUGUGACUAGAGUCCGGUAGGGGAGCGUGGAAUUCCUGGUGUAGCGGUGAAAUGCGUAGAUAUGGGAGAACACCCGGUGGCGAAGGCGGCUAUCUGGACCGGUACUGACGCUGAGACGCGAAAGCGGGUGGAGCAAACAGG
rnacentral:rRNA from 1 species